rnacentral:rRNA from 1 species
AUGCAAGUCGAGCGGGAUUUUUUCCUGUAGCAAUACAGGGAAAAGUCUAGCGGCGAACGGGUGCUUAACACGUGGGCAACCUGCCAAGAAGUGGGGGAUAGCUCGCCGAAAGGCGAAUUAAUACCGCAUGUGAUCAGAGUGGACAUCCAUUCGAAAUCAAAGUCGGGGCAACCUGACGCUUCUUGAGGGGCCCGCGGCCUAUCAGCUAGUUGGUGAGGUAACGGCCCACCAAGGCUUAGACGGGUAGCUGGUCUGAGAGGACGACCAGCCACACUGGGACUGAGACACGGCCCAGACACCUACGGGUGGCAGCAGUCGAGAAUUUUUCUCAAUGGGGGAAACCCUGAAGGAGCGACGCCGCGUGGAGGAUGAAGGUCUUCGGGUUGUAAACUCCUGUCAUUUGGGAACAAGGUGCGCGCGUUAACUGCGCGCGCAUUGAUAGUACCAGAAGAGGAAGAGACGGCUAACUCUGUGCCAGCAGCCGCGGUAAUACAGAGGUCUCAAGCGUUGUUCGGAUUCAUUGGGCGUAAAGGGUGCGUAGGCGGCGCAGUAAGUCGGGUGUGAAAUCUCGGAGCUUAACUUCGAAACUGCAUUCGACACUGCCGUGCUUGAGGACUGGAGAGGAGACUGGAAUUUACGGUGUAGCGGUGA